AAACUCUCUAAAAUUCUUCUAGAAGCAGCAGUUCAUGGCAGUUCCACACUCUCUCUCCCCACUCAAUCUGCAGUUGGCGAUGGUUUUACAAGAUCUUCAUAACCGCCCCACGUUUACCUCACAAUCGCACCCACGUUUACCACUUUCUUCGCCCCAACCACCAUAGGCUACCCAUUAUAAAUCCUCACCCACCAUCGCUAAUGACUUCACUUUCUCCUCUGCAUUUUUUUCACCCUAUAAACAGAUUCAAUCCAUUGAACGAAUCACCCCACUACGUUGUGUUUGGAGUAUUUACGACAGGUUCAAUCGUUUGAUUUCUGUGUUAAAUACUGAUUUAACAAUCCUCACAAAUCGAUUUUGCAGGUAAACCGCCAAUUCAACUGCUCACUUUCCCCUAAUUUUAGGGUUUGAAGAGGUUAAAUAUAGAAUGAUGAGCGCAAGAAGGAAAUCUGAAGUGGAGUUCUUCUUGACGACGUUCCCCCAUGCUCCUGAAAUUCAAAGAUUCUAACUCUUCAUCCACUCAAAUUCACCAAUUUUCCACCUGGGUUCUCUCAAACCCACUUCAAUCUGUGAGCAAGUUCACUCGAUUGAUGAUGGUGUAUCACCAUGGCUGUUGAUAAUUCAUCUUCUUCGCCUAGCUUCCGUGAGCUUGCUGAUGUGUUUUUGCAGUCUCAAGCAAGAAUAUGGCAUGGAGAAGUGUUGCGCACAAGAUUUGAUGAGCAAAUAAGCACAUGUGACCUACUUUCUGAUGGGGAGCUGCUGUAUGUUCUUACCCUUUAUUUUAAUUCAAAAUUGUAUUGCUAUUUUAUUUCUAUACCUGUAUGACAACCGUUUUACAAGUACAAUCAUGACAAUCUUAAAGAGCAGAGUGAAAAGUAUUUAGAUAGUUGGAAGCUAAAAGAGAUCUUUGUCACUAGAGUUGUGCUUGGUGGUUACUUAAGCUUCAAUGACACUUAUUCUUCUGUUUUGUUCUUUGAAGAUCACUUGCAGUUAAAGAACAACAACCUUACGGUCUCGUGGAUGGUGAUGAUGAUGCAAGCAUGUAGGUAGGUUAGCAUUUAGGGGAGAAGAACAAAUAACCUUCUAACACUACCAUUAGUCUGGUAUUUCUACAUAGUAUGCGACUUUAAUUUAUGUUUUUUAAGAAUCUCUGUCGCAAUGUUUAGUUGAUUUACCUCUCAUUGAUAGUUGUUCACAAAAGAGUCACUAGAACCUCCUUUUCAGGUGAACUCUUAUUUAUAUCUCUUCUUUAUAACUGGUAGAGAUCUGAAGCGAUCUUCAAGAAACCUGAAGUCUAGCAUUUCAGUUUAUGGUUGUUAUGACACAUAUGAAACUGGUUAUUCUAAAUUGAUUGUGCGACAUCUAUAUUCGCAAAAAAAAAGUAGAUUAUGAACAUUCUCACCUGAUCUUUGUGAGUUGCAGAAUGCAAUAAGAGCUAUGCCACCUUAAGAUGUGGUUGCUAAUGUCUUAAAGGGCAAGUGGGAUCAUGAGAGGAUCAAUUUUUUUUACUGUGAUCGUUGAGUCCGUUACUAGGUGAACCUGAGGAUUGCUCCAUUUAGGUUGGUGCUGUCAAAACUUGGCAGAAAUCUGACUCCCAAAUGUCACAGAUAAAUGGAAACAGUUGUGAGAGGCAAAUACAUCUCUUAUAUUAAAGGUGUAAUUGGGAAAUAUAUAACGGUGUCAUUUACAGUUGCAGCAUGUAGUCCUGGCUAAACGGGUAGGUUGGGUCACGGGUCAGAACAGUUUGGUAUAAAACAUGUUCAAUUUGGUUCGGGUCAAAUCGGGUUAAGACCACAAAAUAGGUUCCAGUCAAGUCAAAACGAGGAUUUUAGAAAAAUCAAAUGAACAAAAUCAUCUUUAUUGUUGAUUUUAAAUACGUUACUGUUAUAAACAUAUUCUUCUUUAUUUGUAACUGACAAUAGAAUUUGAUGCUUUUAGUUAAGUGUCCUUUUGAUUCAGACGCUAAGGAAAAUUGGUCAUGGGAAAAUCAUUUAGCUGCAUGGAGCUUGAGUAGCCAGCCUCUAUUUUUUAGUCUUCUCUUCAUGGUGAUUUAUGAUGUCUUUGCGAUUUCACUUUGUAUUAUGAUUUAUGAUGGAUAUAUAAAGGUAACCAUAUAUUUUUAUUGUGAAUUAUGUAAAGUCCAACCAGUCACCUUCGUCUAAAAAGAUCAAAUACAGGUGGGAAGUUAUUAAUUAAAAGUUACAAGAUGUAUAUUGUUAACUCUUAACUUUCCGACCUUUCUAUUUUUCAAAAACAAGGUUGGCCCUCUUUUUGUUGUUCUAAUACUAAGCCUUAACUAUUUUAUAAACUCCUUUAUGUGGUUAAGGGGAUUGUUGCUGAGUCAUAUGACCACUUGUAUACGUGGAGGAUGACAUGGCUGAUGGUGGCAAAUUCGUAACUAAUAAUGAGGCGUUGGGGGCAAACUAUAAAUGGUAGGCAUCAUUUUCUUUAAAUGGGUCGCAUGGGUUUGUUUUCACCUCAUUCGUAACUGUUUAGGAAACGGUUCGUACUCGCCAGUAGGUACACCGGAAUCUCUUCUCUGGCAAGUUUUCACCUCUGGCUCUGGAUGGUAAGAUAGCAUCAUUUGUCCGCAUAAGUUCUUAUUCUUUUUUUAAUCUCAAAGAUGGUAAGAUGGCCGUUGAGAAAGAUGAUGAUCAUCAUGAUAAGUUGUUGGCAUGUGGAGCUAUUAUUGUUCUAAACUCCGGUUGCAAGUUUUAUAGGAUGGUCUUCCUUCUGUUUGGACCGAUCCUUAAGCGCAUAUCAAGAAUCUUGAAUCGAAAAUGCUUUGAUCAGGCCAGUUUAGUUCUUAAUUUUUUUUUUAUCAAUUUCAUCGGGGAUCUCCCAUGUUUUUGAAAAGGGUUUGAAUUUGGGGUUUUUGUGGUGAGGAUUCAGUCUGCUAAGGCGAUUUACAGGCUCCGUUGUAACGCGAAAGCGAGAAAAGAAUUGGGGGAUGUAGCCAUGUAGGCCAUGUGCAGAUAUGGUGAGUACCCAGACAAAAUACAAUAUAUUGGAUUAUGAAUAAUUGACCCAAUUCUGUUGUUCAAAGUGUCAAUUUACAGAUACGUAUGGUAUCCUCAUUAGCAAUUAUGGUUGUCCAUGUGCUUUUGUUUUAUGCAUGUCCAGCCAUCUUCUUUCUUUGUGGCAUACUCCAAACAAAUAUGGACCUACAUCAUGUUCAUAAGUUGUAUCGUUAUACUCAUUUGAUAUACUUUAUUCAACUUUCCUUAAAACUAUAUUGGAAUACCAAGUUGUUGGUUAUGUUUAAUUUUGUUUUGAUAACCUGACCAUUGACCCGUUGUAUGAUUUGACAUUAAACAAGUAAUAUGAAGCUGACUCUUUCGAUGUAAGCCUGAUAAUGGCAGGUAUGUCUUGGCACUCGAGGCUGAGGUCUGAGGAGUUUGUAGAAGCCCGAUCAAUUUAAAGAGUAAAGCAAGAUCAAGUUCAUUAAUUUGAAGUAAAAAUGUUUGGUCACUUUUUUAUAACUUUCAGUGAAUUAUUCAUUUGAAGGAAAAUGUUUGUCACUAAUGCCAUAACAUGUAUUAAUGGUGCUUCUACUC